CGGAGGGAAGCCUAAAGGUGGGGCGCUCUGUUUGGGUCAGAGACCGUCCAGGUUCGAUUCCUGGUCCUCCGA